AGCUGGUAGAUGUCGUAGCAGUCCAGUAGUGUCGCAUUAUAUUAACAGCGAAGCAAUGAAUGUUUUGAACAUUGUGAAAACUUUUGCAAGAUGCCCAGAAAUUCAUUGGACCGUAAACCUAAGGCACACCGAAAAACAUGGAAUAAGGAGACGAUGGCAGCUGCUGUGAGGAUGGUGCGAGAAAAUAUGGGAGUAAAAAAGGCAUCAAAACAUUAUGGCGUUCCAAAAACAACUUUAAGAAGGCUCGCUUCUGAAGAUAUGAAUGAUCCCAAAAUUUUCGUAAUGAAAAAAUUGGGGAGAAAACCGGUUUUUCCUGAGUAUGUGGAAAAAGAGCCGUUACAGUAUGUACUAUAAAUGGAAUCAAUAUUCUUUGGUCUUACAAGACAGAAUGUGAGAAGGAUGGCCUUCCAAUUGGCUGUACGCAAAAAUAAACAACAUUAUUUUCAUGAUGAGCAUGCAGGAAGAGUAUACAUAGCUCGAUCAUUUCCUUCAUAGGCACAAGUAAAUUUUGUCACUAAGGAAACCCACUAACACAUCAUAUGCUCGAGCAGAAGGUUUUACUCAAGAGCAAGUAUCUUAAUUCUUUGACUUGCUUGAUGACAUUUACAAGCAACAUAAUUUGAUGGCUGAAAGAGUGUGGAAUGUGGAUGAGACUGGAUUCAGUGUUGGGCAAAGCAAAACUCCUAAAGUCAUUGGGUUGACAGGGAAACGUCAGAUUGGCGCACUCAGUGCUGCUGAGCGUGGAUCACUGGUUACUGUUAUAUGCUCCAUGAGUGUGGGUGGAUCCUUUGUUCCACCAAUGCUCAUUUUUCCUCGGAAUUACAUGAGCGAUGUGCUUAUGAGGGGUUCUCCACCUGGUGCAAUAGGAAGAGCUCACCCUUCAGGAUGGGUUCAGGAAACUUGUUCAACACUUCAUUGACAAAACGAAACCCACAAAGGAAAUGUAAAUAUCAAAUAUGUUUCGUGAAGCAAGUGUCUCGUUCUGUGUGGCAUGAUGAUGUGCGAGGCUGUGCGACAUGUGACGAUGGCUGUGCGGUUUACAGUAAUAUUGUUGUAUGCAAUAGAAGAAAAACAGAAAAAUUACUAAAUU